CAAUAGCGUAUAUUAAAGUUGUUGCAGUUAGAACGCUCGUAGUCGGAUUUCGGGGCGGUCCGACCGGUCUGCCGAUGGGUACGCACUGGUCGGAGCGUCCUUUUUGCCGGAGACCGUGCCUACUCUUAACUGAGCGGGGGCGGGAGACGGCACUUUUACUUUGAAAAAAUCAGAGUGUUUCAAGCAGGCAGCUCGCUCUUGCAUGGAUUAGCAUGGGAUAAUGAAAUAGGACUUUGGUGCUAUUUUGUUGGUUUCGAACACCGAAGUAAUGAUGAGAAGGGACAGUCAGGGGCACUCGUAUUCCGCCGAGAGAGGUGAAAUUCUCAGACCAGCAGAAGACGAACCACUGCGAAAGCAUUUGCCAGGGAUGUUUUCACUGA
rnacentral:rRNA from 1 species